rnacentral:rRNA from 1 species
CGGACGGGUGAGUAAUGCUUAGGAAUCUGCCUAUUAUGGGGGACAACAUCUCGAAAGGGAUGCUAAUAUCGCAUACGUCCUACGGGAGAAAGCAGGGGACCUUCGGGCCUUGCGCUAAUAGAUGAGCCUAAGUCGGAUUAGCUAGUUGGUGGGGUAAAGGCCUACCAAGGCGACGAUCUGUAGCGGGUCUGAGGGGAUGAUCCGCCACACUGGGACUGAGACACGGCCCAG